UCCCAGACUCCUACGGGAGGCAGCAGUGGGGAAUAUUGCACAAUGGGGGAAACCCUGAUGCAGCAACGCCGCGUGAAGGAAGACGGUUUUCGGAUUGUAAACUUCUGUUCUUAGUGAAGAAUAAUGACGGUAGCUAAGGAGCAAGCCACGGCUAACUACGUGCCAGCAGCCGCGGUAAUACGUAGGUGGCAAGCGUUGUCCGGAUUUACUGGGUGUAAAGGGCGUGCAGCCGGGAAGACAAGUCAGAUGUGAAAUCCCGCGGCUCAACCGCGGAACUGCAUUUGAAACUGUUUUUCUUGAGUACCGGAGAGGUCAUCGGAAUUCCUUGUGUAGCGGUGAAAUGCGUAGAUAUAAGGAAGAACACCAGUGGCGAAGGCGGAUGACUGGACGGCAACUGACGGUGAGGCGCGAAAGCGUGGGGAGCAAACAGGAUUAGAUACCCGAGUACG
rnacentral:rRNA from 1 species